UGCAUUUAAAUAUUUGAACAUGUUUUUGUAAGUGGUAGCUUUUAUUAUACUGCAGGUGCAGAAAAUCCAAUAUUUUUAUAAGCAGUAGAUUUUGUAUUCUAGAUACAAUUGUUAGAGUUUAUACUUUGUAUAUAUGUCUGACAAAACACUUGGUAAAUUUUGUAAUUUUCAUUUAUUCUGAGCAUACAUGCUGACAUAGGGUCUGUGAAAAGUUUUAAUAUGUUCUUUUAAAUUGUCCUUUAUUACUCAAGAUCAUGAAAAAGCUUUAUUUUGUAUAAUUUUAUUUUGCUAGCCCAAAAAA
rnacentral:lncRNA from 1 species